rnacentral:rRNA from 1 species
UACGAAAGGGGCUAGCGGUGUUCGGAAUUACUGGGCGUAAAGCGCACGUAGGCGGCCUUGUAAGAUGGGGGUGAAAUCCCCGGGCUCAACCCUGGAACUGCCUUCAUGACUGCAAAGCUAGAGGAUGCGAGAGGUUAGCGGAAUUCCGAGUGUAGAGGUGAAAUUCGUAGAUAUUCGGAAGAACACCAGUGGCGAAGGCGGCUAACUGGCGCAUUUCUGACGCUGAGGUGCGAAAGCGUGGGGAGCACACAGG